rnacentral:rRNA from 1 species
AAUGAACGCUGGCGGCGCGCCUAAUACAUGCAAGUCGAGCGAGAAGACGUAGCAAUACGUUUGUAAAGCGGCGAACGGGUGAGGAAUACAUGGGUAACCUACCCUAGAGUGGGGAAUAACUAGCCGAAAGGUUAGCUAAUACCGCGUACGCUCCUUGGACUUCGGUUCAGGGNGGAAAGCGAUGCCGAGGGUAUCGCGCUCUUGGAUGGGCUCAUGUCCUAUCAGCNG